GUGGGGAAUUUUGCGCAAUGGGGGAAACCCUGACGCAGCAACGCCGCGUGAGUGAUGAAGGCCUUCGGGUCGUAAAGCUCUGUCAGAGGGAAAGAAAUGCGGGAGGGUUAAUACCCCUUUUGCUUGACGGUACCCUCAAAGGAAGCACCGGCUAACUCCGUGCCAGCAGCCGCGGUAAUACGGAGGGUGCGAGCGUUGUUCGGAAUUAUUGGGCGUAAAGCGCGUGUAGGCGGUCUUUUAAGUCUGAUGUGAAAGCCCCGGGCUCAACCUGGGAAGUGCAUUGGAAACUGGGAGACUUGAAUACGGGAGAGGGUAGUGGAAUUCCUAGUGUAGGAGUGAAAUCCGUAGAUAUUAGGAGGAACACCGGUGGCGAAGGCGGCUACCUGGACCGAUAUUGACGCUGAGACGCGAAAGCGUGGGGAGCAAACAGGAUUAGAUACCCGAGUAGUCC
rnacentral:rRNA from 1 species